CCUCACAAAAUAAGAUUUUCCAUGAUGAGAAGAAUCAAAACAACUAGUACAAGCUAGUCCUUUGCUACAUUUUUAGUGCAUCUCAUGCCAUUCAAGCUCCUAUUACUUGGUUAAUCCAUUCCAACAUCAAUUAUAGUAGGCUAAUACACAAUGAAAACCAUCUACACACUUCAGAAGUAGAAAACAAAUAGAUCCCAAAUUACAAUCCAAGGUUAAGGACCGAUGGAGAAAGAGCGAUAAACUCCUAGAACCUUUCAGAUGGGUACCUGAUAGGUUUUAGAUCAGUAAACUCACAAGAACAAAGUAUAAUAGAGAAAGUCUGCAACUUUAUUGAUUAUUGAUAAGAAAAGAACAACUUUGAGAGACUUACGGUUCUCUCCCACCUCCUUACAAAGUUCACCAAAACCUUGAUAGUGAUUCCAAAACCCACCCUUCUCUCCUUAUACUACUCUCUCCUCAGAAAGCCGUUAGGCAUAAAGCAUGUGGUUGAAUGACAACUGGCUUAACCACAGUUUAUUAACUUACUAAGGUUUACUAAAGCUUAACUCAGGUAACCAAGGCUCCAAGCUCAUCCUUAAUCUCCUCUACUAGCUUCUGGAACCUUCUUCUUACUGGGCUUUCUUCUGCUCUGACUGUUGGGCCCUGUUCUUUCUUCUGUAUUGGUAGAGCAUUGGUGGAUGGCGUAUCUCCCACGUAUCAACACUUCCCCCUGUGAGACUCACCUUGUCCUCAAGGUGAAAUUCAGGAAACUGACCUUUGAUGGUGGAUUGCCAUUCCCAGGAGCUCUCAUAGUCUGGCUGUCCCUUCCACUUGAUAAGGACCUCUGCCUGGCCUGAAACAGGGUGAAUGCGCGUUCCUAACACUGUUUCUGGUUCCACAUUCAAAUACCCAUCCUCACUCAACUGCUGGGGAAUGGCGGCUGUUACUGGCUGAUUUCCGAUGGCUUUUUUCAACUGUGAGACGUGAAAGGUAGGAUGGAUCUUCGUCUCUGCUGGUAACUUAAGUCGAUAUGCCACCUUCCCAACUUUAGCUUCAAUCUUAUAGGGACCAUAAAAGCGAGCUGAGAGCUUCUCAUUGGCUCUCCUUGCCAAGGUUCUGCGGCGGUAUGGUCUCAUCUUCAGAUAGACUUGAUCACCCACUUCGAAGUUCACAUCUCUCCUAUGUUCAUCAGCUCUCUGUUUCAUUCCCUGUUGAGCCUUAUGCAAAUGUUCCUUAAGCACUUGUAAAAUGGCGUCUCGGUCUUGCAGCUGUCUUUCCAAGUCUGCGUUAGCUGUAGACCCGUUCUCAUAUUUGAGGACUGUAGGAGGUUCUCUUCCGUACACAGCCUGAAACGGCGUCAUCCGGAUAGUAGAGUGGAAGGAGGAGUUAUAGCUGAGCUCUGCCCAUGCUAAGUACUGAGCCCAAGUACGAGGUUGAUCACCAGCAAAACAUCGCAAAUAGGUUUCUAAUCCGCGAUUAGUAACCUCCGUUUGCCCAUCCGUCUGUGGGUGAUAGGCUGUGCUAAAGCAGAGACUCGUGCCAGCCAAUCUAAACAGCUCUUUCCAGAAGUGACUUGUAAAUAUCUUGUCUCGGUCAGAAAUGAUAGUACGCGGAAACCCAUGCAGCUUGAUCACCUCUUGAACAAAAAUGUGAGCUAUAUCUGUCGCCGUGAAAGGGUGCUUCAGCUUAAUAAAGUGAGCAUACUUGGACAGUCGAUCUAUCACCACUAAGAUCGCAUUAUAUCCACCAGAUUUAGGCAGCCCCUCAAUGUAAUCCAUGGCCACAUCCUCCCAAAUCUGUUCUGGUACGGCCAAUGGUUGUAACAGUCCCCCCGGCGCUAAUGUGGAGUGUUUGAACCGCUGACACACAAGACAAGCCGCUACAUACUUCCGAAUAUCCUGCAUCAUACCUUUCCAAUAGAACAGCGCACUGAUUCGUUUCUGCGUCUUGAGUAUUCCUCCAUGACCUCCCAUCUUUCCAUCAUGAAACUCUUUCAUUAUUAGCCAUGUGAUUGGUGAAGUGUUUGAAACGACUAACUUGCCUUGCCGUAACAACCGGCCUUGCACCACUGAAAAGUCUGGAUGAGAACUGUUAUCCGCACUCCACUCCUUGAUGAUUUUCUGCAAUUCUGGGUCUUUGUCAACCUCAGCACAUAUCUCUUCAAGUUGUAUUGCUGAAGGAACUGAUAGAGCAAAAAAAAGUGGUCACGGCGCCUUUGCGAGAAAGCGCAUCCGCUGCCUUGUUCUCUAAUCCCGGUCUAUACUGAAUAUCAAAAUCGAAUCCCAAGAGUUUAGUGAGCCAGCGCUGAUACUCCAUGUUGAUUUCCCGCUGUUCCAAGAGAAACUUGAGACUCUUCUGAUCUGUCUUCACUAUGAAUCUUCUGCCAAGCAAAUAGUGUCUCCACUUCUGGACAGCGAGUACAAUGGCCAUGAGUUCCCUCUCAUACACUGACUUCAACUGCUGCCUCUCUGUUAACGCAUGACUGUAGUAACAAAUUGGUUUCCCGUGCUGCAUCAAAACCGCUCCCAGCCCUACACCUGACGCGUCGGAUUCAACCACAAAAACCUCGGAGAAAUUUGGAAGAGCCAGGACCGGUACUGUGACCAUAGCUUCUUUUAGUUUGAAAAAAGCAUUGCGCGCCUGCUCUGUCCAGUGAAACUGAUCUUUACGCAGCAUCUCUGUCAAGGGUCGUGCUAUCUCACCAUAUCCGCGCACAAACUUGCGAUAGUAUCCUGUUAAUCCCAAAAACCCUCUUAGCGCCUUGAUGUUUGCUGGAAUUUCCCACUCCGUCAUGGCGCUAAUCUUGCUGGGAUCUGCUGCAACACCUUCCGCCGAGAUGACAUGUCCCAAGUACUCCACUUGAGAGCUCCCAAACUGGCAUUUCUUCUGGUUAGCAUAGAGCUUGUGAGUAUGCAGGAGCUGCAACGUUGCUCUCAAGUGUUGAUGAUGUUCCUGAACUGUCUUACUAUAGACGAGGAUGUCGUCGAAAAAGACCAACACAAACUUGCGGAGAUAGGGCCGGAACACGUCAUUCAUGAGAGAUUGAAACGUAGCUGGGGCAUUGGUGAGCCCGAAGGGCAUAACCAAGAAUUCGUAGUGCCCGUCGUGUGAUCGGAAAGCUGUUUUUGGGACGUCUUCUGACUUCACUAGAAUCUGAUGAUACCCAGAGCGUAAAUCUAUUUUGGAGAAGACACUAGCGCCGUGAAGCUCAUCCAGCAACUGAUCGAUCAUUGGAAUAGGAUAACUGUCCGAGACUGUAGCUUUGUUGAGUGCGCGAUAGUCAACACAGAAUCUCCAACUGCCAUCUUUCUUCUUCACAAGGAGGACUGGGCUGGAGAAAGGACUCCCACUCUCUCUGAUGAUUCCAGCUGAUAACAUGGCUGCAAUUUGUUUCUCAAUCCCAGCCUUCUGUGCUUGGGGGUAUCGAAAGGGUUUUACGCUCAUUGGUUCCGAUCCUGCCUUGAGGUUAAUCGCAUGCUCCUUCCCUCGCGACGGUGGUAACCCGUGUGGUUCCUCAAACACAUUUGCAAAUUCUGUUAAAAGUGGUUCCAGCUCUGUAAGUGAUGAGAUUGGCUUCUCCUGUUCUAUCCUUUGAACUCCAUUGAAUUCCACCAUCAACCCUUCUCCUCCCUGUCUGAGUGUCUUCCAUAAGGUUUUAAGUGAGAUCGCUGUGUUAGCCAAGCUGUGAUCACCCUUGACUGUAACGGCUACCAAACCCACAUUGAACUGCAUCACCUGCUCCUUCCAAUUCACCCUCAUGUCACCUAAUGAUUCCAGCCACUGCAUACCCUGGAUAACAUCUACUCCGCCGAGAUCGAGAGGUAAGAAGCUUGUAACCAGAGUAUAUUCAAGCAACUCUAGAGAAACAUUUCUGCACACCCCAGUGCCAAGAACUGUAAGUCCCGUGCCCAUACGCACCCCGUACUCCUUUGUUCCUGAAGUUUCGAUUCGCAAUUGCAUAGCCAUUGUCUGAGACAAGAAAUUAUGAGAAGUCCCGCUAUCGAUGAGGAUAAUGACUUCUGCCUGUUGAAUCCUGCCUCGAAGCUUCAUUGUUCGUGGGGAAGAGAAACCAGCGGCCGAGCUUAGUGACCGAACAGCGCACUCCGCAACAUCGCCGGUGACCGCGUCAAUGAAUUCCUCCUCCCUCGCCGCGUCCUCGCCUUCCUCUGCUAACUCAUCACUCACCACAAGGACCAUAAGAUCUUUGUAACGACACUUGUGCCCCGGUUGAUACCUUUCAUCACAUCUAAAACAAAUCCCCUUAGCCUUCCUUUCGCUUGCUUCUGCAUCUGUCAGCCGGCGGUAAGGAGGUCGCCGUGGUGGAUUAGGUUUAGGCUGGAUUUGGUUUUUUUCUCCAUGGGGUCGAAACGGUGCCGUUGUUUUGUCUGUAUUGUUGUUUCCCUUAGGAAAAGACAAGUUUGCCCCUCCUGUGGAGAAAGACGUAAUACGCGUGUUUUGUCUUUCUCCUCCAAAUCGUGGUGUCGUCUUCUCCGGUAAGUCCUCUGUCGUCGCUUCGCCGGACCAUUCUUCGACUCGCCGAGCCAAGCUCAUCAUUUUCUUCAACCCCCGCGGUUCAAACAUCUUUACACCAGCCCAGAUCUUAGGUUGGAGGCCAAUCAUAAACGCCAUCUCCAGAACUUUCUCUGUCACCUCCGGCGCGUUAGAUGCGAGAGCAAUGAAUCGUUUGCAGUAGUGGCUGACUGUCUCGUUCUGACGGAGUAAGAGAAGUCUCUCUCAUGCUGUGAGAUCAUGAGUAAGGGAAAAGUUCUCCAAGAUGCGAUCUUUAAGCUGUUCCCAACCCAAGAAUGGAGUGCGAUCUCUUUCCCAACGAUACCAUGUCAGCGCUUCCCCAUCAAAACACAUCCGAACAGCCUUGAGUUUCUCCGCUUCAGUGAAAUCCCCCAUCUCAAAGUAUUGUUCGACCCGUUGAACCCAAAACUCCACAUUUUCUCCAUCAAACAGAGGAACCUCGAUUUUGCGUGUCAAAGGUUCGGACUUUUCGGUCUUGUCGUCAUGUGCUGGCGUCGGUAUCGUCGUCGGAACCGUUGGUGGUGUUAGUGUCGGUGUGAACAACCGCUGGACCACGUUGGUGAGGCUCGCGUCUGUGUCUGAAGGUUGAGUCUCAUCACCAGCUUCUUUCUCCGGAACCCAUGAACGUCUCUCUUCCCCCAUGAGGCGUUUCUGUAACAACUCGAGCACGUCUAGUUUAGCCAUUUGCUUCUCGAUAACAUCCAAUUUCUCAAGCUGCUUUUUCAUGCCGUGGACGUCGUCUUCCAAAGCGGUGAGCUUUUUGAUGUCUUUUUGGAGACCGUCGACUGUUUUCUCCAAUUCCUCCACCUUCUUGGUCGCCAUUGAGAUGGGUUUGUGUUUGCCCAGAAUCAUACCGCUCUGAUACCAAUUUGAUAGGUUUUAGAUCAGUAAACUCACAAGAACAAAGUAUAAUAGAGAAAGUCUGCAACUUUAUUGAUUAUUGAUAAGAAAAGAACAACUUUGAGAGACUUACGGUUCUCUCCCACCUCCUUACAAAGUUCACCAAAACCUUGAUAGUGAUUCCAAAAC
rnacentral:lncRNA from 1 species